rnacentral:rRNA from 1 species
GAUGAACGCUGGCGGCGUGCCUAAUACAUGCAAGUCGAGCGAACGGACGAGAAGCUUGCUUCUCUGAUGUUAGCGGCGGACGGGUGAGUAACACGUGGAUAACCUACCUAUAAGACUGGGAUAACUUCGGGAAACCGGAGCUAAUACCGGAUGAUAUUUUGAACCGCAUGGUUCAAAAGUGAAAGACGGUCUUGCUGUCACUUAUAGAUGGAUCCGCGCUGCAUUAGCUAGUUGGUAAGGUAACGGCUUACCAAGGCAACGAUGCAUAGCCGACCUGAGAGGGUGAUCGGCCACACGGGAACUGAACCACGGUCCAGACUCCUACGGGAGGCAGCAGUAGGGAAUCUUCCGCAAUGGGCGAGAGCCUGACGGAGCAACGCCGCGUGAGUUAUGAAGGUCUUCGGAUCGUAAAACUCUGUUAUUAGGGAAGAACAUAUGUGUAAGUAACUGUGCACAUCUUGACGGUACCUAAUCAGAAAGCCACGGCUAACUACGUG